AGACCUCAGGCAUUCUCCUCUCCCAGACCACCAGUCAUGAUGAGGGAUCUAAUUUCAGGACAGUGGGUAGGACUGGUAGAUCUUGUGACAUGGGGGAGGGGUUAUGCAUGUGUAUCUACAGGAAAAGAGCUGAAAUGGGUUCCUUCCAGGUAUGUUAGACCUUACCUAGGUACAUCCACACAGCAGCAAGAACCAGAGUAAUGCAGAGUUUAAAAACACAGUUAUGUUUACCAUUUGGUAAUGAUGUUUACAUUUCAGGUUUACAAUUGAAGAUGACCAGUGUGGCAAAAUGCAGAGUUUAUACAAAAACCCAUGAGUGUGUAUGUGAAGAGUGAAGUGGCGGCCACCCAUGUGUCGCAAUUGACAGUGGCAUGGAGCUCCAUAGUGCAACCAUGUGCUGUGUGAGAAGACAGUAGAAACAAGAUUUCUUCACGUCCCUUCCUUUUUGCCCCCCCAUCCAAAAUGUAUCUUUUGAAGGGGAAAGCACUGCCAUGUGCUGAAGUCCUACUAAAAGCUGGAAACUCUCCUUUGUUCCUUCUGUCUUGUGCACCAGUGGUACUGCUGCAAUCCAAAGAGGACUUGCAGGCUCUACCUGGACUGUAAUCAGGUACCACAUGUUAGUAAAGUGACUCGUUAGAAGUGUCAGAGCU